CUUUUCAGCUAGAGUAUGAUAGAGGAAAGCAGAAUUUCUAGUGUAGAGGUGAAAUUCGUAGAUAUUAGAAAGAAUACCAAUUGCGAAGGCAGCUUUCUGGAUCAUUACUGACACUGAGGAACGAAAGCAUGGGUAGCGAAGAGGAUUAGAUACCCUCGUAGUCCAUGCCGUAAACGAUGUGUGUUAGACGUUGGAAAUUUAUUUUCAGUGUCGCAGCGAAAGCGAUAAACACACCGCCUGGGGAGUACGACCGCAAGGUUAAAACUCAAAUGAAUUGACGGGGACCCGCACAAGUAGUGGAGCAUGUGGUUUAAUUCGAAGAUACGCGCAGAACCUUACCAACACUUGACAUGUUCGUCGCGACUCUAAGAGAUUAGAGUUUUCGGUUCGGCCGGACGAAACACAGGUGCUGCAUGGCUGUCGUCAGCUCGUGUCGUGAGAUGUUGGGUUAAGUCCCGCAACGAGCGCAACCCUCACUUUUAGUUGCCAUCAUUAAGUUGGGCACUCUGAAAGAACUGCCAGUGAUAAGCUGGAGGAAGGUGGGGAUGACGUCAAGUCCUCAUGGCCCUUACGUGUUGGGCUACACACGUGCUACAAUGGUAUCUACAACAGGAAGCAAGACUGCGAGGUCAAGCAAAUCCCUAAAAGAUACCUCAGUUCGGAUUGCACUCUGCAACUCGAGUGCAUGAAGCUGGAAUUACUAGUAAUCGUGGAUCAGCGUGCCACGGUGAAUGCGUUCCCGGGUCUUGUACACACCGCCCGUCACACCAUGGGAGUUGGUUCUACCUUAAGGCAAGGUUUCAAACCCUUGACCACGGUAUAGUCAGCGACUGGGGUGAAGUCGUAACAAGGUAAC
rnacentral:rRNA from 1 species